rnacentral:lncRNA from 1 species
UCUUGAUCUGAUAUUUUACUUUUCAUGUUCCCUUGCCUUUUGAUAGCGAACUGAUAGUAUAUGAUUAUCAAGGCCCAGACACUUCCAUUGGAGGUCCAAAGUCAUGUCAGGCCUUGGAGCAGAAGCAAGAUGUAGACGUUGAAUAAGGUGAGAACAUGUAGGAACUUCCGUACAAUCCAAGGAGUUGUCUUGUGAACCAGAAUAUGCUUGAAUAAGAGGGAUAAGUCAAGGACAGCCUCAAAGAUGCAAACUUGGCAAGGUUAUACACACGCAGGUGUGGUUUCCUUAUCAGUUUGGUUUUGUCGUGAAACAAUCUUUGAAGCCUUGCAAAGGUGGAAUGGAAGAGCUCCCUCUGAUGGCCUACUCCUGGGCUUCUGUAUUGUCUUGAUGGGCUUGGCUUGUGUCCCUAUUGUGGCUCUCCACUUCUCUCAUGUCUUG